rnacentral:lncRNA from 1 species
CGGAAACAUCCAAUGUCACAGAGGUGUAGGGAGGGCGGGGCCCACUGGAAAGGCCCAGGCAAGGGACGGUCACAGGUUCCAGGCCAGCCUAGGCUACGGGCUACGGGGCCCCAAUGAGAAAAGAACCCAUUCUCCAAGGGCGCGUUCGAAUUGCUUUUCCUCUGCGGCCCAGCAUCUGUCCUUAGCAACCCCAGAAGAGUGGGUCAGAUACUGGAAAAGAAAAAGCCGAGCCUGUUGGAGAGUAGGGUGGGCAUAUUUCCAGAAGUUCAAGGCCAGCCUGAGCUACAGAGUGAGAACUGUCCAAAAAAGAGAAAGAAACCCUGCCUUCUCCAAGGACUACUUUGAAUUGCUUUCCCUCCGAGUAGCUAUGAUUCAGCCCCCGCACCCCCCCACACACACCCCUGCAGCAAUGAUAGAGGCAACAGACGGGGAAAAAAGAGAGAAACGACAAAUGAAUCAGAGUACAUCCUGUGCUUAGCCCUUUCCCGAAUGCUCGAAUAUCCUUAUACCAGUGCUUUGACCAGUGCUGGGGCGAGCUUUCCAGUGAAGCAGCUGCUUUUGAGUCAUCCCUGCUUCUGCCACACCAGUGAAAACACUUAGCAACUUGGAAGCUUCAGUACUAUGGGCUGAAUAAACUCUUUUUCAUUACAAGUUGUCUCCUUUUGGGAAUUUGUUAUGGUAUCAAAAGAACAGGACUGGUAUAAACAACAGAGAGAAUCACCCAAGCUACCAUUUGCUAAGUACAUAUGAUGAGAUCAAACUAACCUGAGGGCAUUAAACAUGCCGACUCAGUUAUUAUCCAAACACAUUUAUGUGACAGAUGGAGUCUACUCAGUUUAUGGAGGAAGAUAAGAUACAAAGAAACGGAGAGGCUUGGCUUGGGUCAGACAACCUCAGCACAUGGCAGAGAGGCGGGGCUCUCUGAGGUCAUCAGCUGGAUUCCAGGAACUUCACCUGUCCACCAGGAUGUCCUGCGACAAAGUCAGGCCUUCAGCAACCUCUUGUGAGCAGGGACUCCCAUCCACCCUCUCUGAGUCCCCGAUGAGUUCUUCUGAGCAGUUGUGCACACAGUGG